rnacentral:rRNA from 1 species
GACGAACGCUGGCGGCGUGCCUAAUACAUGCAAGUUGAGCGCUGAAGGUUGGUCCUUGUACCAACUGGAUGAGCAGCGAACGGGUGAGUAACGCGUGGGGAAUCUGCCUUUGAGCGGGGGACAACAUUUGGAAACGAAUGCUAAUACCGCAUAAAAACUUUAAACACAAGUUUUAAGUUUGAAAGAUGCAAUUGCAUCACUCAAAGAUGAUCCCGCGUUGUAUUAGCUAGUUGGUGAGGUAAAGGCUCACCAAGGCGAUGAUACAUAGCCGACCUGAGAGGGUGAUCGGCCACAUUGGGACUGAGACACGGCCCAAACUCCUACGGGAGGCAGCAGGAGGGAAUCUUCGGCAAUGGACGAAAGUCUGACCGAGCAACGCCGCGUGAGUGAAGAAGGUUGUCGGAUCGUAAAACUCUGUUGGUAGAGAAGAACGUUGGUGAGAGUGGAAAGCUCAUCAAGUGACGGUAACUACCCAGAAAGGGACGGCUAACUACGUG